rnacentral:tRNA from 1 species
UCCCGGAUAGUUCAGUUGGCAGAACAGUCGUCGGUAACUACUUACGAUAUAGUCCCAGGUUCGAAGCCUGGUCCGGGAACAA